rnacentral:misc_RNA from 1 species
UAAACUUAUUAUCUUAAACCUAAUAAAAAGUAUGUAGUUUUGAACUUCAUAACCACUACGGCUAUAAAUGAAUUUGAGCUACUCACAAAUUGCUUGAGACUCAACUCGAUAAAAGCUUGGCUUAGCUCGACUCAUUUACUAAACAAGCCAAGCUUAAGCUCAUUGGUAUAAAAAACAAGCCGAACUUGAGCUCGAAAAAUUUUUAACAAGUCGAGUCUGAGGUCUUCAAUUCACCAACCUUUAUUGAUUUGUGCAUUCUUAACGUUACAAA